rnacentral:snoRNA from 1 species
UUUCCUUCUGCUAUUGGGCAAGAGUUGUGUUGCUAAAUCCUAAGCUUUCUAACUCUAAUCAGCAAAAGGUAGAUCAAAUCGUUCAUCCUUUCCGUUGACCGCUGCACUAUGUUCCAUCCAUAAGUGGACAUUGCAGUUUCUGAUGUGGGUGAAUACACUU